CAAAACAUGAAACAUCUGUGCGGAUGAAGUAACAUCUCAACUACGACUAUUUCCACCAUUUUUACUAUUUCACGGCUCUUGGGAUGGCUGGGAGGCUGGCGACGGUCUUCAUGUAUAGGUUGGGUUAGUUGCAGUAUGUCCUCACCACUGCCAUGAAGCCAAACUUUCGGUGGAAGAUGGACUGCCCAGGAACCAUGGAGGAGGAAGCUAGACCUGGAAGUAGGAGGAGAAUGAGGUCCUCUGCAACCCAGGACCAAGAAAUAUCCAGCUGCUCAUCAUCAUCACUCUCUGCUCCAAGUCCGUUGAGAGAGUUUUCAGAAAAAAUGGUCAAGGAUCAUAUGUGCUCGCAUAAUACAAAGUUUGAAAUUCAGAGAACUAGAAAGAGCAGUCGGUCUCGGACAUGGAGGGAGAGCUGGCGACCGGAGUGGUGCAUUAGCCUAGGGUUCAUGCUGAUGCUUUGUAUUCUUAGUAGAGUGACGAUGGGAGCACUAGAAGCAAGUCCGAGAGAUGAUGUUGCGAGUUUUAGUGGGGAAGACAAAUUGUUUGCGGCAAGAAGACUUAGCAGUGUCACAGAGCCAGAAUUGAUUGUGAAUGAUAGUAAUGAUGGUCCUGUAUUUAUAUCUGAACCUAGUAUGAAGCAGGUCAAAGCCACGGGAAGAACCACGGAAGGUUCACCGUGUGGAGGAGGCCGAGGCCAUCAAGUGAAGAUAAAAUACUCCUCCAGUAUUGUUGAAAAUGAGUACAUUGUAGCUUUUAAGGGUUACUAUAGACAAGAGGCAAGGGAGCGUUUUAUUGAGGCAGCCCUGAAUGACUCGGAUGUUGUGCGGUGGGAAGUGAUGCCUCGUAACAAUCCAGCAAGUGACUACCCAAGUGAUUUUGAUGUUGUGCAGAUCCAAGAAAUUCGUAAAAAUGAUGGCUUGGAUGCCCUCAAAGACCACCCAGCAGUUAAGCGAGUCACAGCCCAACGCAUGGUCAUCCGUCAUCUGCACUUUGUCAAUGACACGAAUGAAGACACCAGUACAGACUUGUGGGAUGAGAUUCUUUUUGCCAACAUAUCAGAGACGGCAGAUGGGUUCAUGGUGUACAACAUAAGUGAAGCACAGCAAGAGGAUGGGUUGCACAAAGAGGAGGGUAUAGAUGAAGAUGAUACGGCUGAGCUGGAUGUGGAAUAUGAGGUUCUUGGGGAAGAAUACGACAAGAAGAAGGUGAAAGAUGAAGAUGACUCUCCUUGCUCAGGGAAGGAUUGUCCCCCCAGCGUGGAGAGGGAGGCCGUGUGGCCAGCCUCUCGGCCUUUCAGACGCUCCUCACUAACUCUGGGAACAGCCUUCUGGCAAACUACUGGCAGGCAUUCUAGUCGACGAUUGUUAAGAGCUAUUCCUAGACAGAUCACAUCCACCUUACAAGCUGAUGUACUGUGGAGCAUGGGAAUCACAGGUGCAGGAGUUAAAGUUGCUGUAUUUGACACGGGACUUUCAAAGUCACACCCCCACUUCAAACGCAUUAAAGAACGCACAAAUUGGACUAAUGAAAAGACUUUGGAUGAUGGCCUGGGUCAUGGCACAUUUGUUGCUGGGGUGAUAGCAUCAAGUGGGAAAACCUGUCUUGGAUUUGCACCUGAUGCAGAACUUCAUAUAUAUCGUGUCUUUACAAACAACCAGGUAUCAUACACAUCCUGGUUCCUCGAUGCUUUCAACUAUGCCAUCUUGAAGAAAGUAGAUGUCCUGAACCUCAGCAUUGGAGGCCCAGAUUUCAUGGAUCACCCAUUUGUGGACAAAGUCUGGGAGCUCACAGCAAACAGAGUGAUCAUGGUCUCUGCUAUUGGAAAUGAUGGGCCACUUUAUGGAACCCUAAAUAAUCCAGCUGAUCAAAUGGAUGUAAUUGGUGUUGGUGGCAUCAACUUUGAAGACCAAAUAGCUCGCUUUUCGUCACGUGGGAUGACUACAUGGGAACUUCCACAAGGGUAUGGGCGUGUCAAACCUGACAUUGUGACUUAUGGGUCACUUGUGCAGGGCUCAAGUAUGGAGGGGAAGUGUCGGCAGUUGUCUGGGACAUCUGUUGCCUCACCUGUUGUUGCUGGAGCUGUUACUCUUUUGGCUAGUGGUGUCCUGCACCGAGGUGGUAUCAUCAACCCAGCUAGCAUGAAGCAAGCACUUAUGGCUUCAGCUCGCAGGCUCCCUGGGGUCAACAUGUUCGAGCAAGGACAUGGCAAACUUGACCUGGUUAAGGCUUACCAGGUUUUGUCAAAGUAUAAACCACAGGCAUCUCUUAGCCCUAGCUAUAUUGACCUCACAGAAUGCCAGUAUAUGUGGCCAUACUGCACUCAGCCCCUCUACCAUGGUGCCAUGCCAACUAUUGUGAAUGUUACCAUACUGAAUGGAAUGGGGGUUUCUGGACGUAUCAUUGAAAAGCCCAUUUGGCAUCCAUACACACCACAAUUUGGGCAGCAUCUGAACAUUGCUUUCACAUACUCUGAGGUUCUUUGGCCAUGGUCAGGCCACCUGGCUGUGUGGAUCACAGUAGCAGACAGUGGUAAAGACUGGGAAGGGUUUGCUCGUGGGCAUAUAUCUGUGACUGUCGAAUCACCUCCCGAAGAAGGUGAAACGCAGCCCAGGACGUCACAUGUGAAACUUCCAGUUAAAGCCAAGGUGAUUCCAACUCCUCCCCGGCAUAAAAGAGUACUCUGGGACCAGUUCCACAACCUGCGCUACCCACCAGGUUACUUCCCAAGGGACAACCUGCGCAUGACCAAUGAUCCUCUGGACUGGAAUGCGGAUCACAUCCACACCAACUUCAAGGAUAUGUAUCAGCAUUUGAGGAACAGCGGAUACUAUGUGGAGGUUUUAGGUUCACCCUUCACCUGCUUUGAUGCUAGCAAGUAUGGAACCUUGAUGAUUGUGGACCCGGAAGAAGAGUAUUUCCCAGAAGAAGUAACAAAAUUGAGGCGUGAUGUUGAGAAUGGAUUAUCCGUCAUUGUGUUUGCAGACUGGUAUAAUGUCAGUGUUAUGAAGAAAGUCAAGUUUUAUGAUGAGAAUACCAAGCAGCUUUGGAUGCCAGUAACAGGUGGCAGUAAUAUACCUGCCCUUAACUACUUACUGGCUUCAUGGGGUAUAUCUCUGAGUGAUGGAGUUUAUGAAGGUGAUUACACCUUAGGUGACCGUGACAUGUAUUAUGCAACUGGCACCUCACUGGCACAGUUCCCUCAAGAGGGUACAGUUAUUCGCAAAAACCUGAAUGACUAUGCAAAGGAAAUGUUAGAAGCUGAGACUGAGAGUGUUCCUGAUAUCCCAAUACUUGGACUCCUGCAGACCCGAAGUGGGGCAGCAGAAAAUAUGAUAGAUGGUGGUCAGUCCCAUAAUGGGAGACUAGUUGUAUAUGGGGACUCCAACUGUUUAGACAAUAGCCACAUGCAAAAAGAUUGCUUCUGGAUGCUGGAUGCUCUUUUGGAGUUCACUACCACGGGACACCUUGCUGGAGUAUUCACUUCCAAUGCAGGGGCCCCAGUUCCUCCGACAACAGACCUGCCCACAAAGAUGGAAAACAGUAAUUUGCAUAAGCAUUCAAAGGUUGUGGAGCACACCCUUGGCAUGGAGCAGAUGAGACCUCUCCCAGAUUGCCCUUCCCUCGUUCCUGUCACACCACAGCCUCUUAAUGUCUCAAAUAAGAACUUGAAUAUCCAUGUUGGUCUUAAGUUGCUGUCACAACCGGAGAUCGUAGCUGCAGUGAAGAUGGCUCCUGUUGAUGUCCAUCCUCUGCCCUUGGAUGGUCACAAGUCAGGUCAGGAAAGCCCAGCAGGAUCCUCCAAUGCAGAAACUGAUGAUGCUUCCAUUCACACAAGUUUGUAACGUGUCAUGGUUGGGCAUGUGUAUUUUAGCGUAAGAACAUGCUGAUAUAAGACAGCAGGUGGUUCCAUGGGCUCUCUUCCCUACUCACCAGAUAGGGUUCCAGCCUUUGCUGUGCUGUCGGUACUGAUGAUGGUGCUGCUCGUUUGCUAUUGGUACCGCUCUCGCCACCGCCCCAAGCGCAGACGCAACAA
rnacentral:misc_RNA from 1 species